rnacentral:rRNA from 1 species
AUUGAACGCUGGCGGCAGGCCUAAUACAUGCAAGUCGAACGAGUGGCGGACUGGUGAGUAAUGUCUGGGAAACUGCCUGAUGGAGGGGGAUUACUUCUGGAAACGGUAGCUAAUACCGCAUACCAUCAGAUGUGCCCAGAUGGGAUUAGCUAGUUGGUGGGGCAACGGCUCACCAAGGCGACGAUCCCUAGCUGGUCUGAGAGGAUGACCAGCCACACUGGAACUGAGACACGGUCCAGACUCCUACGGGAGGCAGCAGUGGGGAAUAUUGCACAAUGGGCGCAAGCCUGAUGCAGCCAUGCCGCGUGUAUGAAGAAGGCCUUCGGGUUGUAAAGUACUUUCAGCGGGGAGGCGUUACCAGCAGAAGAAGCACCGGCUAACUCCGUGCCAGCAGCCGCGGUAAUAC